GCUACUUGAACAAUAUGUAUUAGAUCUGAUAUAAGUCGUAACAUGGUUGCUGUUGGAGAACCAUUAGCAGGAUCAUAACGAAGAAUUACAAUUUUUAGAAUUAGUUUUAUAUUUGCCCACACAUGGGAUCAAUAGGGUACCAUAACGAGGAAGAUCGUAGCGGAAUACGAAAGAUUUAUUGAUCGAAUAUAUUAAUAUAAUAGAUUACCCUUUGAACUUAAGCAUAUCAUUAAAAGGAGGAGAAGAAACUAACUAGGAUUUCUUUAGUAGCAGCGAGUGAACAAGAAACAACCCUUGAUUGUAACCCUUUAUGGAGCUGUAAAUCAUAUAUUUUAUUUCUUAUUUCGUAGAGGAUGUAUAUUCGUUAUAAAUGAGAUAUAUAAAAGUAAUUGAGUAGGGCUGCUUGGUAGUGCAGUUUGAAUAUAGGUAGAAUGAGAUAUCUAAGGUUAAAUAUAAUGGUACACCGAUAGCAAAUAAGUACUGCGAAGGAACUUGUGAAAAUGUGUGGGUUAUAGCCUUAUUUUUAAGGACCCGUCUUGAAACACGGACCAAGGAGAUUAUAAUUAUAGCGAGAUAACAAUGUAGUCGUUAUUAGCUUGAUAAGUUAUAAUUAUAAGACCCGAAACACAGUGAACUAUUCAUGUUCUGGUUGAAGAUAAGCAACAGUUUAUUGGAAGACCAUAAUCAUUCUGACGUGCAAAUCGAUGAUUUAAGAUGUGUAUAGUGGCGAAAGACCAAUCGAACUGUGUGGUAGCUGGUUCACAGCGAAAUGUCU
rnacentral:rRNA from 1 species